GUGCUUGCUUCGGUAGCACCUACAAUAAAAUUAGAAUGAUACAGGGAAGAUUAGCAUGGCCCUGCACAAGGAUGACACACAAAUCCGUGAAACGUUCCACACUUCU
rnacentral:snRNA from 1 species